GUGCUUGUAAUUUAGAAAAAAUAUUAAGCUGUGACCUUAAAAAUAGAACACCAAUUCUCAAGCACC
rnacentral:tRNA from 2 species